rnacentral:lncRNA from 1 species
CGCCGUGCUUUCUCUCCCUCGAACUCACUCUCUCUUCUUUCUCCCGUACAGGCGAAACAAAUCUAGCAGAAAGUUUGCAGAUCGAGGGUUUAAAGGACACCAUCGUGUUCCUGAGGUUCAUAUGAGUCGAAUGGUACCAUUUUUAGUAAGAACUCCUUCGAAAACCCUAGUUUCUCUCGAACUCUGAUUUAGGUACUAUUCAUGCAAACGUAAAAUCACGUGUUUUUUGGGAUUUCAAGCUUAUAGGUAGCUUAAGGAGGUCCUCACGAGGCUGGGAGUGGUUCGUUGGAAGAAUUUGGACGUCAGAGUAGCGAGGACGACGAGUUUUAAGUUUGGUUGGAUUAUCGUGGAUCUUUCCGGCGAGAUCCCGUGAGAUUUAGGUCCUAAAACUGGUAAGGGUUUGUUCUACUUGUCUUAAGCUUCAUUUUGGUAUAUAAUUCGUGAAAUUUGACUGAGAAAUGGACAAGAAAUGAAGGUUUAAAGAAUUUCCCAGUUUUCGGCACCAGCGACGGUCGCCGGAGUUCUAAGGUAGGGGAUGACCGAAUAUUCCGUCAACUUUGACGGAAUAUUCCUAACGGCGUUGGUUAGUUUAACGGAUUCUGUUACUGUUUAACAGAAUAUUCCUAACGGGGUUAAGGGAUUCCGUUAGGGUCCCUGCGCGUGUUGUAGUGCCUUGGCCGGCGUGUGACGACGCGUGAGUGGUCGGAAAAUUUUUCUAAAAAUAUGGGGAUGUUCGUGGAGUUGUUUAGAUCACGUUGGUAUAUUCAAACACCCUGUUUGAGCAUUGUAUGAGAAGUUAUUAGCUAGUUUUUUCUAUGUGCCUUAAAUGACGUUUUUAUAGUUGUUUCACAUAUAGGGGAGACUUAUCCCGAAGACGAGCGCGGUCAAGAGCGACUCGAGGGCUAUGACCCUUUGACAUACCAGUGAGUGGGCUUUUGAUUUUCAGUAUAUACUUAUAUACUUGAUAUUUUCCCAGAAAACUACGUUUAAAUGAAGUAUGCCUUGAAUUGCCAUGCAUAUACAUUUAUAUUCUCUAUAUGAGUUGAUAUAUGAUGCAUAAUAUAUCAUUAUGGUGCUGUGAACGCUCAGGGAAGUACCAGGUGAGUUUUUUUGGUUAUGUGAUGUACUGAUGAUGUGAUAUGUGAUUGAGAAACAUUGAGCUCAUAAACCUGCACCCCCGAUGUUAAUGAUUAGCCAGAGAUAGGGCACAACCUAUAUAUCAUGUCACCUCCCGCACCAUAUGCUCAUAUUGGAUCAAAUUUAGGUGCACAGUCUUGUCGUACAGACCAUCAUAGGUGGUUCCGACUCGUAGGUGACUAGCAAUUUAUCGCCCAGCUAUCAUGAAAAAGUAGUAUUGAGCAUAACUAUAUUACACCCAAUCUUGUCGUAUAAACCCCUUCUUAGUGGUUCCGACUUAUGUGUAGUGUAAUGCCGUAUAGAUCAUGGUAGUGACUCCAGCUGGAUUGACUAAUGAGCUAUGAAUUUAGCCAUACAGACUUAUGUAGGGGUUCCGGCUAAUAUAUUAUUUUCCAUGAAUUUAUUCUCACCUGAGUUACUUAUUCUAUUUUUAUGUUUUGGCAUAGUAUACUUAUGAAUAUGGUUAUAUGAAGCAUGAUUUGAAUUGAGAUACUUAUAUAUACAAUUAUGCAUAUGUUUAUAUUCUAUUUCUGGGAAAAAUUAUACAUGUUUUACGGCGAGGGUUUAGAACUGUUGAGAAUGGAAUGGUUUUGUAAAACAUUUGUUUUUGCCCAUUCACACUUUCUGUUUUGCGCCCCUCCAGGUUUUAGGUAAGCUUGCUAUUGGUGGCAUACGAGGAUUUCGGCGGUUCUGACAUACUAAAAUAAUUGUAGGACAUACUAUGGUACUGUAUAAUUAGUACUUGUCCUACUGGACUGCACCUAGCCUUUCUACGCUCUGAUUAGGUGCAUUUAAACUUAUAUUUCACUCUUAGCACUUUCGAUUUAUUAGUGCACAUUAGUAGCUUUCGGUUUUUAUUUAUUCGUAUAUUCUUUAUCCUUAGUGCUUCCGCACUGUGCACAUGGCUACGUCACCCUCACGUGACAGCCAGCAUGCCUCGAUCUCGGUUGGGAUGUGUCAUAUUCUCGUACAACCUAGUGUUACAGUUUAGUGGUAUUGAAAUGUCUUAGGUUCGAUUCUUGUCAAAGUCGAAUUUGAACCACAUUAUUGCUAGGUCAUUGUGAGGCUAAGUCCACUUCUCCCUCUUAGUGUAGAUAAUAUCGUUUGCCAAAAAAAAAAAUUGUCUCCUUAACAUUACCCUUAAUUUUAUUUUGGAGGUUGUGGCCAAUUGUCUAAAGGUAGAGAUAGAGUGCGGUGGUAGCAUGGAGAUGAGAGAAAUUGUAGAAUGAUUAGGGAUUGGGUGAUUCUCCCUCUGAAGUGCCUUUAUUUAUAGAAAUCAAUGUGAAUGAGUAACUUAUCCUCAAAAAAUACAAAAUCUAAUAUGAAAGAAUAAUAACAUAAUGCGUAAUCUAAAAUCCAAUUUAACUACGAUUUACACAAUCACACAUAUUAAAUAAUAUUCACAACACUCUCCGUUGAGUGUGUAAAUACUCUAGUAGAUAUCAUAUCAGAUUCAGCAACAUUGAUCAAGUCGUCUCAUCGGCACUAAUUAAAGAACAUGCUAGCCUCAAACAAGGGAACUUCCAUAUAGAAAUAAGUCUAACAAAACCUGACUAUGGUAAAAGCCAAUAUGGGGCAAAAACCCAUAGUGUAAGGAAAACAACGAGUUGGAUGCAAAGCCAAUUUAAACGUCUAUGGGACGUACACAAGGGUAUUCCAAUCUAGGUUAGGUGCCUUGUUAAAAUCCAAGGUUCUAAAAAACGCUAGGCGCUAGUCGGGCGGUGGACUAGCGCCUAGCGCCUAGGCGGCUAGGCGGCUAGGCGGGCGCCUAGACGGCCUAGGCGGAUUUACAUAAAUUUACACUAUAUAUUAUAAAAUAUGAGUAUAUGUGUAUAAUUUUAGGACUUUUUUUUUCUAAUUUUAUACAAAGAAUAUUGGGCCUAGUUUGUUUUUUCUUUGAACAAAAUAGUGGAUCACAAAAUGGACCCAACUUGAAAGAAAAUCCUUUUUUUUCAAUUAAACCGACAGCUUUCUACAUCUACACCCUUUAUCGGUUUCUCCAAUGGUAGUCCCAAUCAACCAUCACUUGUUUAUUGUUUAAUGGCUCUAGGCUUGCAUUUAUUAUUAUCAAUAGAUCUGCUCUUCUUUCUCUCUCUGCAGAGAGAUCCCUUCUCUCUCUUUAGGUAUGCCUUUCUUUUCCUCCCAUUUUCAGUUUAUCUUUCGACUCUCUCUUUCUCUUCUCUUCUCUCUCUUUCUCUCUCCCUCUGUACCCCAACUUUUCCAUGAUGCAUGAAUGAAAUCCAUACGUGGUCUGCAAACAAAUGAAAUCCAUAUGUGUUCCAGCUUAGCGCCCACAAUAAGCAGAAGCUGUCAGAACGGAUGGAUCUCUUUGACUCUCUCUCUCUCUUCUUUCUCUCUCUCUCUCUCUCUCUUCUCUUCAACAGAACGGACGGAUCUCUUCAACAGAUUUGGGUUGUGGGUGGUGGACCAUGCAGAUGCGAGGGAAGAUUUGCAGAGUGUCGACCGCCGCCUAGACCGCCGCCUAGCACCGCCUAGGCCGCCUUGAGCGCCUAGAGACGCCUAGGCGG